rnacentral:rRNA from 1 species
GCUUUACUGUAGCCUGGAAUUGAAUUUGAGUUUAUUUUGCGCAGUAUAGGUGGGAGGCUAAGAGAUUGUACUUGCGGGUAUAAAGGAGCCUACAGUGAGAUACCACUCUAAUUAAACUAGAAUUCUAAUCUUGAUGCCGUUAUCCGGCCAAGAGACAUUUUCUGGUGGGCAGUUUGACUGGGGCGGUCGCCUCCUAAAAGGUAACGGAGGCGUGCAAAGGUUUCCUCAGACUGGUCGGAAAUCAGUCGUAGAGUGUAAAGGCAUAAGGAAGCUUGACUGCAAGACCUACAAGUCGAGCAGAGACGAAAGUCGGCCUUAGUGAUCCGACAGUUCUGAGUGGAAAGGCUGUCGCUCAACGGAUAAAAGUUA